rnacentral:lncRNA from 1 species
GGGAUCCAACUGAAAGCAAAUGCAAGCACAGCCUACAAGUUCAUAUUUGAUGCAUUCUAGGGUAAAACCAAGUAGGUUAUCAGGCAAACAUAUAACAAUAAUGCAUACCAACAAAGACUAGACAAUAUAUAGGUUGAGCCCAUAAGUCUGAAAAAAAAGUACUUAUCAGCAAUCUCAUGAGUACUUUUGAGUAUGUAGUUAACCUCCCAAAACUUUAUAACAAAUCCAAAUUUCUACCAAAGUUUUGUAGGGUAACUAAUCCCACAUAAUGCCAUGGGGUUUUUCAAUAUCAUAGCCUAAUAUUUCACAAAGCAUGCAUGUAAUGGUGCAACGAUUUAGAACUAUCAACCAUGAAGUUAGGCCCUUGUGUAAAUGUAUCUGAACACAAAAGAACUAACAAUUAUGCAAGCUCCAUCUUUUUUAGAGUAACCAGGCAGAUCUCAGAUUAGGCUUUAUCAUAUAAGCAAGAAACCAUUUUAAUUACAACACAAGGAACUACCAUGAUCCGGGGCAGCUAAUAACCUAAUGCCUAAGCUAGAGAGCACAAAUAAUUUAAAAUUGUAGAUGUUCAAUCUGUGCCACAAUAACAUGAAUAUCACCCAUGGACUUUAUUUUAGAUGGAAUUAUCCAUUUUAAUUGCAAAAGGAGGCACAAUCAUUUUAGAAGGGAGCAAAUAAGCUCAAGCAAAGUAAUCAAAACACAAAAACAUCUCAUGCAUCUAUAGAUUUGGAUUAGACAUCCAUUUUGGAAAAAAUUAACCAUUCUAAUCAUCAGAAAGAGCCACAACCAUGAUAUAGUGCAGCAAAAAUGCAUAAAUGUGGCCAGUAACCAUGAUACUUUGUUUGAGAGGAAUGCUCAGCAUGGGAGCUUCUACCUUCAGUCAAAGGUUCACAGGGAUAAAGAAUGUUUAGAAGCUAUCUACCAACAGAACAGUCCGGCAAAUUCUUGAGAUCCAAGUACCUGUCUACUGGUCUGAAAGCAGCUUUUGCUGUUCUAGUUCUAUACACUAGUUUUUCCCCAUAUUAUUUCUGAAAUUAUAGCUUGUAUAUAUACAAAUGUUCUCAUAUCUCAAGAUGCUUUAGCGUAACUUGCCAGUUGAUGUAAAGUUGCUUAAUUGCAAAAGGAGGCACAAUCAUUUUAGAAGGGAGCAAAUAAGCUCAAGCAAAGUAAUCAAAACACAAAAACAUCUCAAUAUUUUCCAUCCUCCAUUAUUUUCACAUGCAUCUAUAGAUUUGGAUUAGACGUCCAUUUUGGAAAAAAUUAACCAUUAUAAUCAUCAGAAAGAGCCACAACCAUGAUAUAGUGCAGCAAAAAUGCAUAAAUGUGGCCGGUAACCAAUACAUAUUCCAAAGAAUGUAAUUUUUCACAGAAAAAACUUUGUAAAUCUAGCUCUGCAAGCGCAAAACCUUCAAUAUAUGCAAGCAUCCAUGAUAAGAUCCAUAUAGAAUAGCUGCAAUAUUUUCCGAGAUCAAAUUGUUCGGACUAAAAACCCAGCAUAGAAUCCAUAUAUCUCCAUAUAUGAGAUCAACCACCUCAUAAUAGGGUGUAGGGUAUGCAUGCUGGAGAGUAAGGAGGUGGCUUAGCUGGGCUAGUGGAUGUCUCAAGGCGUUGCUCCUUGGGAAGGAACUGUCACCGGAGUAGAUGACUAUGGAGACAGAGUAGAGGAUGACCACAAAGGAGGCCUAAGCGAAUAGCCCAUGCUAGAUUUCUAACCGGUAGCAGCUUACCGACCCUAUGGUGCUCACCAGAGCAUGGAUGAUGGGAGGAGAUGCCAUGCAAGAAGAAGAGAGAUAGGAGGAGAGGAAGGCGGUGAGGAGAAGGUGAAGAUAUAAGCCCACCUGAACCUCCCAUACCCAAUAAUGAUAGCUGAUGGCAAAAGCAUAAUUAUGUGGAAUAGGAUUCCGUCCAGUUCCGCAUCACAAAUCUAACCCAAUUGGUGGAAUAGUUUUAUGCCAUGAGAUGGGAAGAUGGCCCCCCUCCCGCUGCAUUACUCUAUUCUGGGGGUUCUAGAAGAGUGUUUGUUAUAAUAAGUGGGGGAUGGUGAGGGAUAUCCUUCACUUAUUCAGCAUUACUCAAUUCCGGGGGGGGUCAAGAAGAGUGUUUGGCACGAUAAGUGGGGGAUGCCAGGGGAUAUCUCCCACUUAUUCUACAUCCAAAUACUACCUAGAAGAUAAGUUUGUUUUCAACAUCUUUCAUGGAGUCAACAUCUUUGGACUUAGCAAAAACCUCUUGUUCACGUAUCAUUGCCGCAUUGUCAUGCAAAACUCUAGUUUAUAUUUGUUUUAUUCAUUUAACUUGGAAGUUUUUGUUGGCUCCUUAGUUCCUUUCAUUAUCUUACUUGUUUUGAAUAAUUUUGUGGUGUGUUGUGCUAUAAAUGUGUCCAUAUUGGAUUAUUUGUUCUUAUGUCUUUAAGACUUGGCACUUGCUAAUUCCAUGCUUUUAUGGUGGCUUUUUAGUUUAUCAACUUUUGCUACUUUUUUAUUCUAUGGACGUAGCUCUUGUUUUAAGUUAGAAAACUUUUCCUUACGAAGGAAUCAUAGCUUUGAAGUAGUAUUUAAAUUCCAAUCCAAGGUAUUUGGAUGGAACUAGUGCAAUCCCAUGUUCCAGCUUCGAUGAUUUGGUGAAACCAAUGAACCUUUCUAUGCCUUUGGCAAGGCAUCAAGUGCUCUCUCUCUCUCCCUCCCUUUAUGUAUAUUUAUGCAUUGUAACCAUGCAAGUAUGUAUACAAGGUUUUAAAUCUCAUGGAACUGGGUUGUCGUGGUUUUUCCGUGGAAUGGAAUGUGUUGCUGUCCCCGUUUCGCCCCGACACUUGGAAUGGGGGAUAUCCCAGGAUGUGUUAAUAUGGAUGCUGGGACAACGACGGUCCCUUCCCGAUGCUUGGUCUUGGCAUCCUAGGAUUUGAAACCAUAUAUAUAUAUAUUUAUAUAUAUAUGAAAGCUCCCAAUCUACUUCCUAAGGAAAGUAAUUCACAGAGUACUCACUGAGUUAUUAUUUAUAUGAUUAAUUAUUUUCUGAUCUGCAUUCUUUCACUUUGUCAUAUUCUAGCUCUGUGACGCUAAAAUUAUGGAUACAUCCUCUGGGAUGGUCAGAGGGAACAAAUUUUACUUUAAACCGAGUUAUCUAGCUUCUAAAUUUAAGCCCAAGAAUACAUCUAUGUCCUACAUAACUUAUAUUCCUGUUUCUGUAGAUGCCAACAAAACUGGUGUUGCACAAGAAACCAUUAAUAAUAUUCGCAGAGCAAGCCGAGCUAUGACUGAACAGGAAGCCAGGCAGAUCCUAGGAAUCCCUGAGCAUGCAACAUGGGAAGAAGUCAUGCAGGUUCUUCCACCCUCUUAAAGAUUUUCUUCCCCAUUUCUUGUAAUUAGCCAUGAGUUUUGUAUGCUAUUUAUGCAGUGUAUAUAAUUGUUUUACGGACUCGAUAACAGUAGCUUAAUGUUAUACGUGCAGAAGUAUGAUACUUUGUUUGAGAGGAAUGCUCAGCAUGGGAGCUUCUACCUUCAGUCAAAGGUUCACAGGGCUAAAGAAUGUUUAGAAGCUAUCUACCAACAGAACAGUCCGGCAAAUUCUUGAGAUCCAAGUACCUGUCUACUAGUCUGAAAGCAGCUUUUGCUGUUCUGGUUCUAUACAGUAGUUUUUACCCAUAUUAUUUCUGAAA